AUACGUAGGUGACAAGCGUUAUCCGGAUUUACUGGGCGUAAAGGGCGUGUAGGCGGUCUUGCAAGUCAGAAGUGAAAUUCCUGAGCUCAACUCGGGCGCUGCUUCUGAAACAGCAGGACUUGAGUGCUGGAGGGGAUAGCGGAAUUCCUAGUGGAGCGGUAAAAUGCGCAGAUAUUAGGAAGAACACCGGUGGCGAAGGCGGCUAUCUGGACAGUAACUGACGCUGAGGCGCGAAAGCGUGGGGAGCAAACAGGAUUAGAUACCCUGGUAGUCCACGCUGUAAACGAUGAAUACUAGGUGUGGGGGGACUGACCCCCUCCGUGCCGCAGUUAACACAAUAAGUAUUCCACCUGGGGAGUACGAUCGCAAGAUUGAAACUCAAAUGAAUUGACGGGG
rnacentral:rRNA from 1 species